AUACUUAUGACUGAUAAAAAGUAAUAAAUUGUAAAUUUAUAUAUAUAUAUAAUAUAUAUAUUUUUUAUUAAUUAAGUUAG
rnacentral:tRNA from 1 species